AGAACGUGAUGGGAAGCGGCGCGCUUCCCGUGUAUGAUUGAACCCGCAUGGCUCCCGGUUCGUUCGGGGAAGCGCUGAGGGUUCAUUUUUAU
rnacentral:sRNA from 29 species